UAAAAGUUAAAAACCAAAGUCUAGUUAGGCAAGAGAGCUAGAAGCCAAAGCUAAUGGGAAUUCAUCAUGCAUGCAUUAGCAUAAAGAUGAUAUUUCAGUUACCAACAAACAAACCAACCCACCACAAAAGCGCUUGUUUUCUAAAAGUGGGAAGUUUGGCAAGAAUAUGGAAAACUAAAGUGAAGACAUUGAAUGGGGUGGCAAGAGCAAGUCGAUUCUUAUUGUUAAUGCAAAAGACAAAUUUUAUAGUCCAUGUGAAUAGAUGAAGAUUUGAAAUGAGAAAUUAUUUGAAUUUGCAUUAAUGUUGAUGUUAAUAAUCUUUCACUUGAUGUUUGAGAUAAUUCAUGUUCACUUCUGAUGGACAUCUAUCCAAAUGGACCCUAAUCCUGAAGAAAAUUUCCAAUUGCAGUCCACAAAAAGGCCAAGAUUGAUCAUUCUAGGAGCCUUUUCUAUCAUUUAACAGGCAUGAGGGAUUGAACUGCAUUUCUUUCUAUGAACAUUUUGCAGUUUGAGAGUCCCAAAAUGUUGACACUUGGAAGACGUGCUUCCAAAAUGCUGCUACUCCUAUAAAUGAACCUCAAUGAAAACAUUUAGCCCACAAAGCUCACAUUGUUCAUUGGUUAUUAUGUCAGAACUUAGAAGAAAGCAGUAGCACCAAAUUAACUAUUACAUUCCUAUGCUCUUACUGAUAAGAUCAUAAUGUAUAGUUCUAGAUAAUAAAUGAAGAUUUUAGAACGCAUAAAAACAUGCACUCACAUUGGAAACUUUAACAGAAGUGCGUAUGUUUCGUGGGGCAGGUUUCUCAAUGUCUUUGUUUUCCUUUGUUUCCAAGGAACGUGCAGCAGCCAAGGACCGGGGUGCAAUUUCAGGUGAAGGGGCAAAGAUGUCAUGUCCACUUAUUUCCUUGAAUUUUGCAUCUGAUAUCUGCUUUUUACUGUUCAUGUCUGACUCACUUUGCAGAGUUCCACUUAACUCACGCUGCUUUGCUACCUCAGGAAGAGAAGUAGGCUUCUUGGGAGAGAUACUCUCCUCAGUAUUAAAUGAUAUCUGGCUAAUUCCAUUCAUUGCUUGCUGAAAAUGCAACCAUUAAUGGGAAAUGUAAUCGUGAUUAAUCUUAGAUAAUAAGUAAUCAAGCAUUAUUUUGUAUAAUUAAAGGGAGACCAAAGUACCUGAUAGACACGCACACUAGUUUUGUUAAUGGGAUUAUCAGCGCCAGAUUCAGACGCAUUAUCUCCACCAUUAGCUGCAAAUAUACCACUGCCAGUCAUCUCCUUUAACUUAUAACCGGAACAGGGCUUCCUGGAGAUGGCAAAGGGAAAAAUUCAGGACCUCAGAUAGCUUGGAUAAUUCAUAACCCCACAUGGUAUAAAGGUGAAUUCCCUUUUGAUAGGCGUUUCCAGAGAUGCACCUCAAUGUUCACAUAUAUACAAUCAGAAAGAGUACAUGGGAAAAGAAAAUAAAUCGGAAAAGAACAUACCCAAUUGAUCCCUUAUAAUUCAUAAAUUCUGGAAUAAUUUAUACUACAUGAUUUUUUUGCUUAACUAUCAAAUUUCACAUACACCUUCAAGAUUGUUUUUUUUUUUUUAAUUUUAAAAUUCAAACAACUGCAUAAAGAGUUAACUUUGAGAGAACAAUGGACCUCAAAUGACUUUUAGCCUUUCAACUGGUCCAUUAGCACUUCAAGAUAAUCUUACUAUUAUGUAAAUUUAAGCAAUCCAAUCUUGGGUUUUACUCUUCCAAACACUUCAACUUAAAUACCUUAUCUUCAUUAUCCUUCUUCUACCCCUGUUCCUGGACUUCAUGGAUCACCAUCAGGAAUAGACAUUUAAGUUUCCGUCUUUUCAAGUAAAAUUGGGCUUUUUGAAACUUUUUUUUUUCCAAAAGAAAGAAAAAGAAUUUGAAAACUUCGUUGAUCUUUUAAGUUCCUCUUCUCUCUUCAUCACUGUUUGUAGAUAAAUUCUAUUCAACAAAGGUAACUUGGUAAUUUAAGGGCCACAUAUCUUAGCCCAAGUUAAAGUAGCAAAACCCAAGGCUUUUUUUAAUUGUUUAAUAAUUAAUGCAUAUAACUUUUUUUAAAAAAUAAAAUUUAUGAAAUCACUGUAUUUUUCUUUUUUUAUUCUACAUUCCUUUUUUUCUUUUUUUAUAAGACUAGUCCUUAUAAAGUUGUAUUAUUAUUAUUAUUAUUAUUAUUAUUAUUAUCUCUAUUAAAAUUCUAUGUUUUUUUUCCAUCUCUUUUCUAUUUAUUAUUAUUUUUAUAUUUAUUAUUAUUUUCCCUAUCCAUAUAAAUCUAAUGUCAUUUAGUAUUAUUUAUUUAUUAUAAUACUUAGAUAUUAUAUUUUUAUUCAAUUGAUUGUAUACAUAAUAAUCAACAUAUAAUUUAACUUUGAAUUUAAAAAUUAUAAGUGCGAAAUAUUUUUAAUUAUUUUAUAUUAGAUUUUAUAUUUUUAGAUUUUUUAUUAUUAACUAAAAUCUUUAAGAGCUUAAUAAGGAAGAGAUUUGAUAAUUGGAAGAAUUUUCCACAUUAUGAACUAAAAGAAAAGAAAAAAUAAUUUUAGAAAAAAAAACAGUUUUGAGAAAUAAGUAACCAAAAACUGAAAACAGUUUUAUGUUUUUAAUAAAUAAAAAACUAAAAAUAAAUAACAGUAACAAACGGACUUAGUAAUUUAGAAAUACAUUUUCCUUCUCUAAAUAUAUUUUCGCAUACUAAAAACUCUCAAAAACUCAUUUCUCCAAUUAAAAUAAUUAUAUAAAUAAAUAAAAAUUCAUAAAACAUAUAUUUUUUAUGAGUAUGGAACUUGUAUUUUUUUUAUACGAUUAAAUAUUGAUUAGAGUUGUUGUUGAAUAUAUUUAAUAAUUUAUAAUAAUUUAUAUUUUUAUAUUUAUAAAUAUAACUUUAUAUUUUCAUAUUUACGCAUUUCUUUCCGUUUCUUAUAUUUUUAAAAAGAUCGUUUCCUGUAUCCGUUUCCGCAUUUCACCUUUUUGUGCAACAUAGAUAUUAUAUGUUCAAUAUAAAAGUAAAAAUAAUUAAAUAAAAGUUUAAUUUAACAAUUUAAAUGUUCAAAAGAAAAAUCCUUCAUUAUCCACACUGGAUUAUAAGGAAGUUUAAUCAGCCUGCUUCAAUCAACCCAAUCAGUCUAUUAGAAGUCUCGAUCAGUCCGUAGAUUUUAUGAAGUUUAUAAAUUCCACAUUAAUGGUGGUAGCUAAGGUUAAAGACGAAAUAACCAAAACCAAAACCAAAAUAAAAAAAGAAAAAAAAGAAAAAAAAACCACCAUAUCAGAUGAUCAUUUGUACCUUAAAUUUAUCAAAGUACUAAACUGUAAAUUAUUGUUAAAAAGGGUACUAACUAUAUAUCAAACUUAAUUCUAGAGUUAAAUUUCCAGUUUCACCAUACAAUCAUGGCCUUGCGUCUCAAGAAGUAAAACACAGGACUGCGUAAUACAUACCAAAAAAAAAAAACAACGGCUCCAGAAGAGCUAAUGAUUGAGAGACAGAAAUAACUGAAUUAGCCAUCCAUCUAGCAUUUUAAUCUAAAUAUCAAAGAGUUUACACAUAAUCCACAGCCAUCAUAGACCACUCUAAUGUCAAAACCGUAGUACAUCAGUCAAAACACAAGCACUCAAACAGGACUCAAACAGGAAUAACACAAGGUCCAGGAUCUGUCGAAUCAAGCAAUAUUUGUGAGUUAGAUUGGCCCCGUUUACACCAAUGCGAUGCUGCUCUCGCCACCAGGGGGCUUGCGAACACCACCAAAAUAGUCCCUGGAUUCCGACUUUCCAUCUGCAAAGAUGUUACUGCCGCUUAUUUCUUUCAGUUUAGCGCUGCUUAGUGGUUUUUCAGCAGAUCCAGGAGGAACAUCUCCUUUGAAAAUAUCAUUGCCAGUCAACUCCUGAAACUUCUGAUUGUGUAUUUUCUUUGAUGUCCUAACAACCGGUUCUUCACCAAACAGGAUGUUACUCUGACCUCCAGCAGGCUAUAAAAGUUAAAAACCAAAGUCUAGUUAGGCAAGAGAGCUAGAAGCCAAAGCUAAUGGGAAUUCAUCAUGCAUGCAUUAGCAUAAAGAUGAUAUUUCAGUUACCAACAAACAAACCAACCCACCACAAAAGCGCUUGUUUUCUAAAAGUGGGAAGUUUGGCAAGAAUAUGGAAAACUAAAGUGAAGACAUUGAAUGGGGUGGCAAGAGCAAGUCGAUUCUUAUUGUUAAUGCAAAAGACAAAUUUUAUAGUCCAUGUGAAUAGAUGAAGAUUUGAAAUGAGAAAUUAUUUGAAUUUGCAUUAAUGUUGAUGUUAAUAAUCUUUCACUUGAUGUUUGAGAUAAUUCAUGUUCACUUCUGAUGGACAUCUAUCCAAAUGGACCCUAAUCCUGAAGAAAAUUUCCAAUUGCAGUCCACAAAAAGGCCAAGAUUGAUCAUUCUAGGAGCCUUUUCUAUCAUUUAACAGGCAUGAGGGAUUGAACUGCAUUUCUUUCUAUGAACAUUUUGCAGUUUGAGAGUCCCAAAAUGUUGACACUUGGAAGACGUGCUUCCAAAAUGCUGCUACUCCUAUAAAUGAACCUCAAUGAAAACAUUUAGCCCACAAAGCUCACAUUGUUCAUUGGUUAUUAUGUCAGAACUUAGAAGAAAGCAGUAGCACCAAAUUAACUAUUACAUUCCUAUGCUCUUACUGAUAAGAUCAUAAUGUAUAGUUCUAGAUAAUAAAUGAAGAUUUUAGAACGCAUAAAAACAUGCACUCACAUUGGAAACUUUAACAGAAGUGCGUAUGUUUCGUGGGGCAGGUUUCUCAAUGUCUUUGUUUUCCUUUGUUUCCAAGGAACGUGCAGCAGCCAAGGACCGGGGUGCAAUUUCAGGUGAAGGGGCAAAGAUGUCAUGUCCACUUAUUUCCUUGAAUUUUGCAUCUGAUAUCUGCUUUUUACUGUUCAUGUCUGACUCACUUUGCAGAGUUCCACUUAACUCACGCUGCUUUGCUACCUCAGGAAGAGAAGUAGGCUUCUUGGGA
rnacentral:lncRNA from 1 species